GAUGAACGCUGGCGGCGUGCCCAAUACAUGCAAGUCGGGCGAACGGACGAGAAGCUUGCUUUUCUGAUGUUAGCGGCGGACGGGUGAGUAACACGUGGAUAACCUACCUAUAAGACUGGGAUAACUUCGGGAAACCGGAGCUAAUACCGGAUAAUAUUUUGAACCGCAUGGUUCAAAAGUGAAAGACGGUCUUGCUGUCACUUAUAGAUGGAUCCGCGCUGCAUUAGCUAGUUGGUAAGGUAACGGCUUACCAAGGCAACGAUGCAUAGCCGACCUGAGAGGGUGAUCGGCCACACUGGAACUGAGACACGGUCCAGACUCCUACGGGAGGCAGCAGUAGGGAAUCUUCCGCAAUGGGCGAAAGCCUGACGGAGCAACGCCGCGUGAGUGAUGAAGGUCUUCGGAUCGUAAAACUCUGUUAUUAGGGAAGAACAUAUGUGUAAGUAACUGUGCAUAUCUUGACGGUACCUAAUCAGAAAGCCACGGCUAACUACGUG
rnacentral:rRNA from 1 species